rnacentral:lncRNA from 1 species
UAUCAUGUACCAACAAGUAGUGAGUUUAUUGAUUAAAAUUUGAUAAAAGUUGACAUUAUUAGGAAACACAUACGCAUCAAUGUAUGGUGCGAUAUACAUCUCUCUAUUAGACUCAGUCAUCCAUGUUUGCAUAUAUGAUUUUAUGGAAUCUAAUGUGUAUCUAGAUGGUUGAAUGGUCUGAGGUUUAAGAAAGCCAUAAACUGA